rnacentral:rRNA from 1 species
AUUGAACGCUGGCGGCAGGCCUAACACAUGCAAGUCGAACGGUAACAGGAAGAAGCUUGCUUCUUUGCUGACGAGUGGCGGACGGGUGAGUAAUGUCUGGGAAACUGCCUGAUGGAGGGGGAUAACUACUGGAAACGGUAGCUAAUACCGCAUAACGUCGCAAGACCAAAGAGGGGGACCUUCGGGCCUCUUGCCAUCGGAUGUGCCCAGAUGGGAUUAGCUAGUAGGUGGGGUAACGGCUCACCUAGGCGACGAUCCCUAGCUGGUCUGAGAGGAUGACCAGCCACACUGGAACUGAGACACGGUCCAGACCCCUACGGGAGGCAGCAGUGGGGAAUAUUGCACAAUGGGCGCAAGCCUGAUGCAGCCAGGCCGCGUGUAUGAAGAAGGCCUUCGGGUUGUAAAGUACUUUCAGCGGGGAGGAAGGGAGUAAAGUUAAGACCUGUGCUCAUUGACGUUACCCGCAGAAGAAGCACCGGCAAACUCCGU